rnacentral:rRNA from 1 species
AUUGAACGCUGGCGGCAGGCCUAACACAUGCAAGUCGAACGAGUGGCGGACGGGUGAGUAAUGUCUGGGAAACUGCCCGAUGGAGGGGGAUAACUACUGGAAACGGUAGCUAAUACCGCAUACCAUCGGAUGUGCCCAGAUGGGAUUAGCUAGUAGGUGGGGUAAUGGCUAACCUAGGCGACGAUCCCUAGCUGGUCUGAGAGGAUGACCAGCCACACUGGAACUGAGACACGGUCCAGCCUCCUACGGGAGGCAGCAGUGGGGAAUAUUGCACAAUGGGCGCAAGCCUGAUGCAGCCAUGCCGCGUGUGUGAAGAAGGCCUUCGGGUUGUAAACUGCUUUUGUCAGGGAAGCGGUACCUGAAGAAUAAGCACCGGCUAACUACGUGCCAGCAGCCGCGGUAAUUC